ensembl:snoRNA
CUUUCCUGUGGCUUCUAAGCAGGGCCUUGGGAGGCUAGAGCUGAAGUAGAAAGCUUCAGUCUCAUUCCACCAGAGAAUAGAUUAUACAAUUCCUCUCUGGGGCCUGUCUGGAGUCAUAGCU